AUGACUGGAAGCAGAGGACUAUGUUUGAGAUCAUGGACCUCGUGGGCAGGAAAUCAUCAGCGCUGGUUCCUCUUUCUGGUGGCAGCUCCCGGAUGUGUCCUGUCCCAGGUACAGAUGGAGGAGUUGGGACCAAGCCUGGUGCUGCCCUCGAAGACGCUGUCCCUCACCUGCUCUGUCUCUGGAUUUUCUAUAAACAGUAAUCGUGUACAUUGGGUCCGCCAGCGUCCUGGAAUGGGGCUGGAUUGGAUUGGUGGUAUAGGGAGUACUGGAAUCAUAUACCAUAAACCAAGUCUUCAGUUCCGACUCAGCAUCUCCAGGGACACCUCCAAGAACCAAGUUUACCUAAAACUGAGCAACUCAGUAACUGAGGACACAGCCGUGUAUUUUUGUGCAGGAACCACAGUGAAGGAAAGUCCCUAUGAGCCCAGACACAAACUUGCUGAGACAGGGGAGCUGCGGGAUUUAUGUGACCAACAGGGGGCGCUCUGUUCUGGUACUUUAUGGCUGCUAUCCAGGAACAGGAACGUGCAUCAGCGCUGGUUCCUCCUCUUUCUGGUGGCAGCUCCCGGAUAUGAGUAUGCCCUGGACAGAGGCUCCAAGGUGGGCAUGGGGCCUCUGAGCGCAUGA